AUGUUAAAGUAGAAGCCAUCCGCUUCUCACCUUACGGCGUUCGUCGCUAAGGUAUCUUCUGGUCCUGAGCUAAAGUGUGCUCACGAUUGUUUGGAAGACGGGUGGUAUUCAUCCGUCUUUUUUGUUUUAA
rfam:Desulfosporosinus sp. Tol-M Desulfosporosinus_sp._Tol-M_Contig_8, whole genome shotgun sequence.